CCCCUUACCAAGGCCCAGGAGCUAUUGUGAUGCACUGAGCGUAAAGCUUCCAGAGCAGUGAGUAGGUGAAAAGGAGAACUCUGGGCUGAGAAUGAGAUUUCAGGCAAAGGGAAGACAUCCUCCUUCCAUUGAGGUCAUAUCAAGAGCUUGGGUGAGGACCACAUAAGAAGAGACUACAAUCCCACUGGUCUGCAUAACCAAGGACAGAAGUCAGGUGACAUGGGCUGGACAUAUUUUCUUUUAUGGGAUUCAAUGAGAUCACAACACCAAGGACUACUGCAGUAAGUUAGUGGCAUCUAAAAACGCUCAGAGUAGAUUCCUUUUAGGUAUUUGUGUAACAACUUCAGUGGUGGCAAAC
rnacentral:lncRNA from 1 species